UACGUAGGGACCGAGCGUUGUCCGGAAUCAUUGGGCGUAAAGAGCGUGUAGGCGGCCAACUAAGUCCUGCGUGAAAUCUCGGGGCUCAACCCCGAGCGGUCGUGGGAAACUGGUUGGCUAGAGUGCGGGAGAGGAGAGUGGAAUUCCUGGUGUAGCGGUGAAAUGCGCAGAUAUCAGGAAGAACACCCGUGGCGAAGGCGGCUCUCUGGAACGCAACUGACGCUGAGACGCGAAAAGCGUGGGUAGCAAACAGG
rnacentral:rRNA from 1 species